AGCGAACGCUGGCGGCAGGCCUAACACAUGCAAGUCGAACGAACUCUUCGGAGUUAGUGGCGGACGGGUGAGUAACACGUGGGAACGUGCCUUUAGGUUCGGAAUAACUCAGGGAAACUUGUGCUAAUACCGAAUGUGCCCUUCGGGGGAAAGAUUUAUCGCCUUUAGAGCGGCCCGCGUCUGAUUAGCUAGUUGGGGAGGUAAAGGCUCACCAAGGCGACGAUCAGUAGCUGGUCUGAGAGGAUGAUCAGCCACAUUGGGACUGAGACACGGCCCAAACUCCUACGGGAGGCAGCAGUGGGGAAUCUUGCGCAAUGGGCGAAAGCCUGACGCAGCCAUGCCGCGUGAAUGAUGAAGGUCUUAGGAUUGUAAAAUUCUUUCACCGGGGACGAUAAUGACGGUACCCGGAGAAGAAGCCCCGGCUAACUUCGU
rnacentral:rRNA from 1 species